rnacentral:rRNA from 1 species
AGCGAACGCUGGCGGCAGGCCUAACACAUGCAAGUCGAACGGACCCUUCGGGGUUAGUGGCGGACGGGUGAGUAACACGUGGGAACGUGCCUUUAGGUUCGGAAUAGCUCCUGGAAACGGGUGGUAAUGCCGAAUGUGCCCUUCGGGGGAAAGAUUUAUCGCCUUUAGAGCGGCCCGCGUCUGAUUAGCUAGUUGGUGAGGUAAUGGCUCACCAAGGCGACGAUCAGUAGCUGGUCUGAGAGGAUGGCCAGCCACAUUGGGACUGAGACACGGCCCAAACUCCCACGGGAGGCAGCAGUGGGGAAUCUUGCGCAAUGGGCGAAAGCCUGACGCAGCCAUGCCGCGUGGAUGAUGAAGGUCUUAGGAUUGUAAAAUCCUUUCACCGGUGAAGAUAAUGACUGUAGCCGGAGAAGAAGCCCCGGCUAACUUCGUGCCAGCCGCCGCCGUAAUAC